UAUGCUUCUUCUUCGUCCACUUUCAUCGUCUUAAAUUUCCUAUUCAUUUUGCUCAAUUUUUGUUCAAUUUCGAUAAGGUAUUAUAGCUCGGAGCUGAUUUACAGAUUUUAAAAAUGGUGGAUGCUAGGCAAAAAAUGCUUGGACAGGUUUAAACUAACGAUCUGUUCAACAAUAUGAAAUUGCUUUGUGUUUUAAGAUCUUCAUCCGAAUAAAGUUUCGUUAUUUUGUAUGUUAACCGACACCCAUUUGCAGUUCGAAGCCGAUGUGCAUAUUUUGAAUAUGGUGUAUGCUGGGCCAAAACGGCUUGGACAAGUAAUUCAAUUUCAAUGGCCAGACCGUUCUUUA